UACGUAGGGGGCUAGCGUUGUCCGGAUUUAUUGGGCGUAAAGAGCGUGUCGGCGGCCAGGUAGGUCUGCUGUGAAAACUCGAGGCUCAACCUCGAGACGUCGGCGGAAACCAUCUGGCUAGAGUCCGGAAGAGGAGAGUGGAAUUCCUGGUGUAGCGGUGAAAUGCGCAGAUAUCAGGAAGAACACCCGUGGCGAAGGCGGCUCUCUGGGACGGUACUGACGCUGAGACGCGAAAGCGUGGGGAGCGAACAGG
rnacentral:rRNA from 1 species